UUUAGUGUGUAACUUUUUGAUAUUAAUGAACGUAUGUUACAUUCGAGCCAUUACCAAGUGAGUUGCUACCAAGCUAAGUAAGACCAUCAGCUCCUCACAACUCUCUCUGCAUUUAUAUAUAUU